CCACGUUUGGUCGUCUCCGUCCUUGUUAUCUUCUGUACAGUGUGUUGUCGACUCCUUCGUUUCAAGCCAGUUUCUGGCCGACCACAUACUGCUUGAACUGAUGAGCUUGAACUACAUGUGCUGCUACCAUUUUGUGUUACUUGAACGGCCGCCCUGGCAUCAUCAAAAUCUUGAUUUAUUGGGUGGGCAAGGCAUGUCAUGCAGGGUAGCUGGAAGGGAGGGGAAGCUCGUUGCCUUGCCAUGGUUCUAGCGGGAGCCGGGCGGGCUGGUGUACACAGAGGAUAGAGGCCCUGGCCUCGUACGACCAGCGUUCAUGCUGCUGCAAAUGUGGUCGUUGGGGCCAGUCAAUUGGAAGAUCUGUAGCUCCUCAGUCCAACUUAUUGCUUAGCUACCGACCACUCAAAAAAUAGUAGCAUGCAGGCCACCCCGUGCUCCGCCCCCUGAUCCGGCAUUUUUGCAGUUCAACAGGGGCGCGGGGUUCAGUUUGAUGACGAUGAGCUAGGCAGCUGGCCUUCGCAUCACGAACUGGUGUCUUAGUACAACCCUACGCUACAAGGCACGCGUACAUCCACUUCAUGUGUUAGUAAAAAGUAUUGUGCAUUUGCUUGGCAGCUUUGCACUCUAGAUACAUCACUUGGUAAAUCAAAAAUAUUUUGUUGUUCACUUUUUGUGUUUUGUUCAAUAAUUCUCAUGCUUUCUUUCGUGAGGGCUACAAAUCAUAGUGCUUAAAAUACCGAUGGGUCUGUCAUACUUGAAUUAAAAAAGUUACAGGAGAAAGUACCCUAUUCCAUUACUUUGAGAAGUAUAAGUAGACCUUUCUAAAUAGUACAGUGCAGACCCGGUGUUGCCCUGCACAAAUGGAGUCUUUAGCUCACCACGCUACCUCCUCCCGUCGGUGGGGCUCCGUCGUUGCAGCGCCCCAGCCGUUCACUGCUGCCAAACCAGGCCGUUUAACAGACAGCGUCGAGCCAUUCGACACCGCAGCUUGGGAGGCUACCUGUUUUGCUGUCGAUGUUGUCUAAUUUCACUAGUGUCCUGUUUUGCUGUCGAUCCUGUCCUCGGUGUCCAUGAGCACGAGCACCCUGUAUCCGGUGGCGAGAUGAAGGCCACCUGUGAUCCCUGCUUCCCGUCAUCACCUCCACCUCGUGUGAGUUCACUGCCGAGAACAAGCACGACCACCUACAGUUCCUAGUUGUAGCCUUGGCCACCCCUUGGCCACGAGCUCGUCCACCAUGGUUACUGGCAGUCGUCCAAGUGGAGCGCGGACAUCAGUCCAAGUAGAAUCGCAGCCACCAUCUUCACCAAGCGCUGCACGGUCGUCCAAGUUGAGGACACACAAUAGUCCAAGAUGAUGUAUGAUCACUGAUGGAUUCAGCAUCUUUUAUAUUAGUUUGAAUUAUGCAAGCCAAUUCUAUGGAAGCUUGCUGGCGAUGCGGCCAGCAUGCUUUUAGUAAUAACGGCGACCACAAACAGCAUUGGCAGCCAGCACAUGCACUACAUGCUCGACUGCUCCACACUACCGCCAUGGACAUAAACAACACAGUUUGGCAAAAAUAGAAGUUUGAUAUCAGUUCACCAUUGAGAGGUAGUAAGUGCGGAGCAGAAAAAUUGUAGCAGUUCAGCAAAAAAAAGUUUACAUGUACAAACGCUUCAGCAAUCAGUAGAAGGCCACUUGAUUUACUGUCUAAUCUUGGAGAUAAAUCCAAUAUCCUAAGUUUGUGAUGGCAGGUCACUCGUAUGACGGGUCCACGACGUAUGUUUCAGAAGAUCAGUACCAUCAAUACAAACAGAUCAGUACCAUCAUAACAAAAAAGUUAGGUUUUAAGUUAUGAAUAAGAAAUAACAAAAAAGUUCAUAAAAAACCCCAGAACACCCGGUAGUUCUUGAAUCUGGGAGUUCAGGAAAAAAUGAUCCAAAAUGAGCAUCGGGAGGGUUUGAAAAAUACAUCAUGAGCAAGGAUUUAUUUCAAGCUCACUAUUUCGGCUAUAACUACAAAAAUUGAUCUCUGUACUUAUUCAUUCUGUCACUCGAUAGUUCUAUGGCUGUUAUGAUAUGAGUUGGCAUGCAAUAACUCUUGGCAUUCUUCCAUAAACAAUGAAGGGAAUGCUAAAAGGAGGGUAUGUUUUCCAAGCUGACAUCUGCAAGCCCUCAGUAGGAUAGGCAAAACGCAGAGAUAAGUUUUGACCCUGAAAACUGUAGAGUUGGGCUUCCUUGUAUUCAAGUGCUCGCAACUAAGCUUCACUUCUUGUUUGUUUGAAUUAACUGGUCCAGACGUCUCAAGCUGCUAAGGCCUACAUCUCCCUGCCAAUGUCCGAUCGCCUGUGCCGACAUGGUCGUGGAGUGCCCUGGCCGAUCACAACCACCACCGCAGGCUGUUCUACGCCACCUCCGUAGGCGGUUCAUCGUAGCAGCGACCUGGAUCCCACUGGUUCCCACUAGCGACAUCCGUUCGAGCACAUCGUCGCUGUCCUGCAGCAGCGUGGCUUAGCUACUGCACUUGGUUGAGGUCAGAGCCUUUCGAGUUGUCAAGCCCAGCCAUGGCGUGCGUCCGCUGAACGACGACAGCUUCGUGUGCGUUCCUGCAUGUGCUCAUGUGUUGUAUUGGUGUGGGUUGUGCGUGUGCUUUUCUUAUUCUAAUUGUAGUUUUCACCUGGAUGUUUUUCCGAGACAUUCAAGCAUUACUGUCUAAAAGGUGCAAUUAUGAACUCACUCAUGGGUUCAAGUUACUCACGCUGCU
rnacentral:rRNA from 1 species